rnacentral:rRNA from 1 species
GAUGAACGCUAGCGGCAGGCUUAACACAUGCAAGUCGCGGGGCAGCGGGGGAUGAGCUUGCUCAUCCCGCCGGCGACCGGCGCACGGGUGAGUAACACGUAUGCAACCUGCCCCUGUCAGGGGGACAACCCACCGAAAGGUGGGCUAAACCCGCGUACAUCCGGAGGGGGCAUCCCCUUGGGAGGAAAGGAGCGAUCCGGACAGGGAUGGGCAUGCGGCGCAUUAGCUAGACGGCGGGGUAACGGCCCACCGUGGCGACGAUGCGUAGGGGUUCUGAGAGGAAGGCCCCCCACACUGGUACUGAGACACGGACCAGACUCCUACGGGAGGCAGCAGUGAGGAAUAUUGGUCAAUGGUCGGGAGACUGAACCAGCCAAGCCGCGUGAGGGAAGAAGGUACAGCGUAUCGUAAACCUCUUUUGCCGGGGAACAAGAGCUUCCACGAGUGGGAGUGUGAGCGUACCCGGAGAAAAAGCAUCGGCUAACUCCGUGCCAGCAGCCGCGGUAAUACGGAGGAUGCGAGCGUUAUCCGGAUUUAUUGGGUUUAAAGGGUGCGUAGGCGGCGAGUUAAGUCAGCGGUAAAAGCCCGGGGCUCAACCCCGGCCCGCCGUUGAAGCUGGCUGGCUUGAGUUGGGGAAAGGCAGGCGGAAUGCGCGGUGUAGCGGUGAAAUGCAUAGAUAUCGCGCAGAACCCCGAUUGCGAAGGCAGCCUGCCGGCCCCACACUGACGCUGAGGCACGAAAGCGUGGGGUAUCGAACAGGAUUAGAUACCCUGGUAGUCCACGCAGUAAACGAUGAAUGCUUGCUGUCCGGGGGGAUUUGCCCCUGGGGGGCGCAGCGAAAGCGAUAAGCAUUCCACCUGGGGAGUACGCCGGCAACGGUGAAACUCAAAGGAAUUGACGGGGGCCCGCACAAGCGGAGGAACAUGUGGUUUAAUUCGAUGAUACGCGAGGAACCUUACCCGGGCUCAAACGGGAGACGCCGCAGGCAGAGACGCCUGUUUCCUUAGGGACGUCUUCCGAGGUGCUGCAUGGUUGUCGUCAGCUCGUGCCGUGAGGUGUCGGCUUAAGUGCCAUAACGAGCGCAACCCCCGCGGGCAGUUGCUAACAGGUUAAGCUGAGGACUCUGCCCGGACUGCCGGCGCAAGCCGCGAGGAAGGCGGGGAUGACGUCAAAUCAGCACGGCCCUUACGUCCGGGGCGACACACGUGUUACAAUGGGCGGUACAGCGGGAAGCCAGGCGGCGACGCCGAGCGGAACCCGAAAGCCGUUCUCAGUUCGGAUCGGGGUCUGCAACCCGACUCCGUGAAGCUGGAUUCGCUAGUAAUCGCGCAUCAGCCAUGGCGCGGUGAAUACGUUCCCGGGCCUUGUACACACCGCCCGUCAAGCCAUGGGAGCCGGGGGUGCUUGAAGUGCGUCGCCGCGAGGCGCGCCCUAGAGCAAAACCGGUGACUGGGGCU